rnacentral:lncRNA from 1 species
GUUGCAGAAUGCUUAUGCAGUGUCAAAAAAAAAGUUUGGGAAAAAAAGCUCAUAUUCAUAUCUGGUAUAUGUCCCAUGUCUUUGACCUCAUUUUCAUGGUUCAAUGACCACUUAAUAAAAAAUAAAAACUUCUCCAAAAAACAAAUGUCAUGAAAUUGAUGCAAGACAUUGGGAUGCUUAUUUUGCAGUGGCUUUGUAAACCUUGUAUUCAGGAAGGACGAAGAAGACCUGGAUACUUCAUAUCUUGUAUACAGAUGCCUUAUUUCCAGUUUAUUUCUGGCAUAUUUUUGUUGUACUUGAACUUUUUUCAUGGUUUUGUUGUUAUCACAAUAAAUAGGACAAUUAAAUUUGGUAUAUAAAAUCAUACCUACUAGACAUGGUCACAUAACCUUGACAUCAUUUCAUGGAUCAGUGAUCAACAUGGUUUUCAUGGUUAUGUCUCUUUCUCAGUGUUUGCUUGAAUUUUGGAAUGAUUGUAAGUUGUAUAUAGAUAUAAGAAAAUGUGGUAUGAGUGCCAAUGAGACAACUCACUAUUUAAGUCAAAAAUUAUAAAAGUAAAUCUUUAUGUUCAUUUGAAAUUUACCUAAUUUUUAUAGUUUCUUGGUCAUUGUUAUUUUUUUUUUUUUUAGUGAUUAGGUCCUUUUCACAGAUACCUAUAAGCAUAAGGUGAAUUAUAUUGAAUGUGUAGAAUGAUUUAUAUGUGUAUAUAAAGUUAAAAUUGAGAAUAGAAAUGGGGAAUGUGUCAAAGAGACGACAACCCGACCAUAAAGCAGACAACAGCGAAGGCCACCAAUGGGUCUUCAAUGCAGUGAGAAACUCCCGCACCCGGAGGCGUCCUUCAGCUGGCCCCUAAACAAAUAUGUAUACUAGUUCAGUAUAUGUCUGUUUGCUGGGUCCAUCUGACCAUGACUUCCAUAUGUAUGGUUUACUGGUCAAUACAUAUAAAGAUUUAGCCAUUAAAUUUGUUUCUAAGAUACUUGAAGCAAUAGGUAAACUACACUUGGUAAAAAGAAUGAUGUAAAUGUGAGGUGUGCAUGUCUGUCUGGCAGUCCUGUGUCACUGAAGGCAGAAGCAGGUCAAGUAACCAAUCAACUCCAUCUGUCCAAAAGAAAAUAUUCAGAAUGUUUCCUUGGCUUCUAUGAACAGGAAUGAUUCAAUAUUUCCUGCGGCUUAAUAAUGUUGACUUGUAGCAUGUAAGCAGUUUUAACAUCUGCCAUUCAGCUACUCCCUGUUCCCCAAUAGUUUUUUACAACACUCAUUGUACAAGAAAAUUUUUGUCAAAAGUUUACUUGGCUUCUAUGAACAGGAAUGAUUUGAUAUAUAAUCUGCAACUUGAUAAUGUUGAGUUAUUGUAAUUUUUACAUUUGCCAUGUAGC